GUGAUGACCCGCCAGUGGCUUAUAGGUGCCGAGCUCACCCUUUGCUGA
rnacentral:snoRNA from 2 species